rnacentral:rRNA from 1 species
GAUGAACGCCAGCGGCAGGCUUAAUACAUGCAAGUCGAGGGGUAGCAAGAUUGUAGCAAUACAAUUGUUGACGACCGGCAAACGGGUGCGGAACACGUACACAACCUUCCUACAAGUGGGGAAUAGCCCAGAGAAAUUUGGAUUAAUACCCCGUAACAUAGCGAUGUGGCAUCACAUUGCUAUUAUAACUUCGGCGCUUGUUGAUGGGUGUGCGGCUGAUUAGAUAGUUGGCGGGGUAACGGCCCACCAAGUCUACGAUCAGUAGCUGAUGUGAGAGCAUGAUCAGCCACACGGGCACUGAGACACGGGCCCGACUCCUACGGGAGGCAGCAGUAAGGAAUAUUGGACAAUGGACGCAAGUCUGAUCCAGCCAUGCCGCGUGAAGGAUUAAGGUCCUCUGGAUUGUAAACUUCUUUUAUAAGGGACGAAAAAAGGUCUUUCUAGAUCGUCUGACGGUACCUUAUGAAUAAGCACCGGCUAACUCCGUGCCAGCAGCCGCCGUAAGAC